AUUGAACGCUGGCGGCAUGCUUUACACAUGCAAGUCGAACGGUAACAGACCGCAAGGUGCUGACGAGUGGCGAACGGGCGAGUAAUGCAUCGGAACGUGCCCAGUCGUGGGGGAUAACGCAGCGAAAGCUGUGCUAAUACCGCAUACGAUCUGUGGAUGAAAGCGGGGGACCGUAAGGCCUCGCGCGAUUGGAGCGGCCGAUGUCAGAUUAGGUAGUUGGUGGGGUAAAGGCCUACCAAGCCGACGAUCUGUAGCUGGUCUGAGAGGACGACCAGCCACACUGGGACUGAGACACGGCCCAGACUCCUACGGGAGGCAGCAGUGGGGAAUUUUGGACAAUGGGCGCAAGCCUGAUCCAGCAAUGCCGCGUGCAGGAAGAAGGCCUUCGGGUUGUAAACUGCUUUUGUACGGAACGAAACGGUCUGGGUUAAUACCCUGGGCUAAUGACGGUACCGUAAGAAUAAGCACCGGCUAACUACGUGCCAGCCGCCGCCGUAACAC
rnacentral:rRNA from 1 species